UAGGGUGUCCUAGAUGAUCUGUGGUCAGACCGGAAGACUCAUGUUAACACCCAUGGGGGUGGGGGGCAGUGAGUUGAUGGCCAACCCCACGUGUCACAUGAUGCUAUGACCAACAUCCCAUAUCACAAUCCGAUAACAGUAUCCAGAGUAUCUCGGUACAGAAGCUGGAACACAAAGCAUUCUCAUCUUCUCAUCCCAUCCCUCCGAAGAUGCCGGAAAUAUGGCUCUUGGAGUUCCUCCCAACGGGAUAAAAGGAGAUGGAAGUCCGGAGGUAAAGGACAAGAAAAUGGGAAAGCCAGAGAUCCAGAGAAGAAACGUGCUCCCAGAGAGGAAUCGGUGUCCAGGAAGUAAUGGCCAAGCUGGUCUAAAGAAUCACAGAAAGGGAGGGGCAUCGUUUGAGCACCUUGGUAAUCCCGGGCACCUUACCAGUCAGCGGCUAACCUCCACAAGAAUGAGCACUUCAACACUUCACAUGCCCCACACAGAGGUUCAAGCCAAGUGAUCCCCAGUUUUCAUCUAGCAAGGAGCUUUGAUUCACCUGCAUCUAUCCUGCAACAAGUUCCAGCGCAUGCUUUUAACUGUGUAUUUUAUUAGUUUAAUCCAUUCCCCCGUUAACAGACAGUUUGGCAUUAAUCUUUUUCUAUUACCAACAACGUGGAAGUGAAUAAAUUUCACGUGCUACCUCC